rnacentral:rRNA from 1 species
CCUACGGGUCGCAGCAGUGGGGAAUAUUGCACAAUGGGCGCAAGCCUGAUGCAGCCAUGCCGCGUGUAUGAAGAAGGCCUUAGGGUUGUAAAGUACUUUCAGUUGGGAGGAAGGCGUUGAUGCUAAUAUCAUCAACGAUUGACGUUACCAACAGAAGGAGCGCCGGCCAACUCCGUGCCAGCAGCCGCGGUAAUACGGAGGGUGCAAGCGUUAAUCGGAAUUACUGGGCGUAAAGCGCACGCAGGCGGUCUGUCAAGUCGGAUGUGAAAUCCCCGGGCUCAACCUGGGAACUGCAUUCGAAACUGGCAGGCUAGAGUCUUGUAGAGGGGGGUAGAAUUCCAGGUGUAGCGGUGAAAUGCGUAGAGAUCUGGAGGAAUACCGGUGGCGAAGGCGGCCCCCUGGACAAAGACUGACGCUCAGGUGCGAAAGCGUGGGGAGCAAACAGGAUUAGAUACCCCAGUAGUC